GUCUACGGCCGUACCACCCUGAACUCGCCCGAUCUCGUCUGAUCUCGGAAGCUAAGCAGGGUCGGGCCUGGUUAGUACUUGGAUGGGAGAAAGUAAGAAAAAACGUUUAAUUCUUAGGUU
rnacentral:rRNA from 1 species